GGGUUGUGAGGUUAAGCGACUAAGCGUACACGGUGGAUGCCCUGGCAGUCAGAGGCGAUGAAGGACGUGCUAAUCUGCGAUAAGCGCCGGUAAGGUGAUAUGAACCGUUAUAACCGGCGAUUUCCGAAUGGGGAAACCCAGUGUGAUUCGUCACACUAUCAUUAACUGAAUCCAUAGGUUAAUGAGGCGAACCGGGGGAACUGAAACAUCUAAGUACCCCGAGGAAAAGAAAUCAACCGAGAUUCCCCCAGUAGCGGCGAGCGAACGGGGAGGAGCCCAGAGCCUGAAUCAGCAUGUGUGUUAGUGGAAGCGUCUGGAAAGGCGCGCGAUACAGGGUGACAGCCCCGUACACAAAAGCGCAUGUGCUGUGAGCUCGAUGAGUAGGGCGGGACACGUGGUAUCCUGUCUGAAUAUGGGGGGACCAUCCUCCAAGGCUAAAUACUCCUGACUGACCGAUAGUGAACCAGUACCGUGAGGGAAAGGCGAAAAGAACCCCGGCGAGGGGAGUGAAAAAGAACCUGAAACCGUGUACGUACAAGCAGUGGGAGCACCCUUCGGGGUGUGACUGCGUACCUUUUGUAUAAUGGGUCAGCGACUUAUAUUCUGUAGCAAGGUUAACCGUAUAGGGGAGCCGUAGGGAAACCGAGUCUUAACCGGGCGUUAAGUUGCAGGGUAUAGACCCGAAACCCGGUGAUCUAGCCAUGGGCAGGUUGAAGGUUGGGUAACACUAACUGGAGGACCGAACCGACUAAUGUUGAAAAAUUAGCGGAUGACCUGUGGCUGGGGGUGAAAGGCCAAUCAAACCGGGAGAUAGCUGGUUCUCCCCGAAAGCUAUUUAGGUAGCGCCUCGUGAAUUCAUCUCCGGGGGUAGAGCACUGUUUCGGCUAGGGGGCCAUCCCGGCUUACCAACCCGAUGCAAACUGCGAAUACCGGAGAAUGUUAUCACGGGAGACACACGGCGGGUGCUAACGUCCGUCGUGAAGAGGGAAACAACCCAGACCGCCAGCUAAGGUCCCAAAGUCAUGGUUAAGUGGGAAACGAUGUGGGAAGGCCCAGACAGCCAGGAUGUUGGCUUAGAAGCAGCCAUCAUUUAAAGAAAGCGUAAUAGCUCACUGGUCGAGUCGGCCUGCGCGGAAGAUGUAACGGGGCUAAACCAUGCACCGAAGCUGCGGCAGCGACACUG
rnacentral:rRNA from 1 species